AGAGAAGGAAACCAAGCAAACCCUCUGUGGUUUUAAGUAAAAUGAAAUAUAAUUCAGAGUAAUUAAGGCAUUUUUACAGUACAGAGAUGUGAAGGAAGAAAUGUUAUUCCAGAGAAUGAACUAGUAUGUGUCUGGGAAAACAUAUGGAGAGAGAAGGGG